rnacentral:lncRNA from 1 species
AUGUGGUGAAACGAACAAUUUAUAUAUGCAUCAUUUAGCAAAUACUUAAUGCUAAUUUAAGUAGGUAUCCAACUAAGAUAAAAAACAUAUGGUCCCAUUCCAAAACAAUUCCCUUUUUCUUUACUCCCUACUUUCAAUUUUUAACUAAUUUUGAUUGAUCAUCGUCCAUGCAUUAAUUACUAGCCAAUUACAUAAUUUGAUAUAUAAGCAUCCCAAGAGCCAAUAACAAGCUUUUAAUUGUGUUAUCGAUGAUUUAAACUAAAUAGCUAUGUCAG